rnacentral:rRNA from 1 species
GACGAACGCUGGCGGCGUGCUUAACACAUGCAAGUCGAACGGAAAGGCCCUGCUUUUGUGGGGUGCUCGAGUGGCGAACGGGUGAGUAACACGUGAGUAACCUGCCCUUGACUUUGGGAUAACUUCAGGAAACUGGGGCUAAUACCGGAUAGGAGCUCCUGCUGCAUGGUGGGGGUUGGAAAGUUUCGGCGGUUGGGGAUGGACUCGCGGCUUAUCAGCUUGUUGGUGGGGUAGUGGCUUACCAAGGCUUUGACGGGUAGCCGGCCUGAGGGGGUGACCGGCCACUUUGGGCGGGAGUUACGGCCCAGACCCCCACGGGGGGGAGGAGGGGGGAAUAUUGCACAAGGGGCGGAAGCCGGAUGCAGAAACGCCGGGGGGGGGAUGGCGGCCUUCGGGUUGUAACCCGCUUUCGCCUGUAACGAAGGGUAAGGAGGGGAAAGGGGGAAAAAAGCCCGGGCAAACUAGGG